rnacentral:tRNA from 1 species
GGAUGGAUGUCUGAGCGGUUGAAAGAGUCGGUCUUGAAAACCGAAGUAUUGAUAGGAAUACGUUUGGAUCCUCUCACAUGUUCAAUCUA